rnacentral:rRNA from 1 species
CAGUCGCCACGGUAAUACGUAGGUCCCGAGCGUUGUCCGGAUUUAUGGGGCGUAAAGCGAGCGCAGGCGGUUAGAUAAGUCUGAAGUUAAAGGCUGUGGCUUAACCAUAGUACGCUUUGGAAACUGUUUAACUUGAGUGCAAGAGGGGAGAGUGGAAUUCCAUGUGUAGCGGUGAAAUGCGUAGAUAUAUGGAGAAACACCGGUGGCGAAAGCGGCUCUCUGGCUUGUAACUGACGCUGAGGCUCGAAAGCGUGGGGAGCAAACAGGAUUAGAUACCCGGGUAGUCCCUGUCUCUUAUACA